CCUACGGGAGGCAGCAGUGGGGAAUAUUGCACAAUGGGGGAAACCCUGAUGCAGCGACGCCGCGUGAAGGAAGAAGUAUUUCGGUAUGUAAACUUCUAUCAGCAGGGAAGAAAAUGACGGUACCUGACUAAGAAGCCCCGGCUAACUACGUGCCAGCAGCCGCGGUAAUACGUAGGGGGCAAGCGUUAUCCGGAUUUACUGGGUGUAAAGGGAGCGUAGGCGGUUUAGCAAGUCAGAAGUGAAAGCCCGGGGCUCAACUCCGGGACUGCUUUUGAAACUGUUGAACUAGAUUGCAGGAGAGGCAGACGGAAUUCCUAGGGUAGCGGUGAAAUGCGUAGAUAUUAGGAGGAACACCAGUGGCGAAGGCGGUCUGCUGGACAGCAACUGACGGUGAGGCGCGAAAGCGUGGGGAGCAAACAGGAUUAGAUACCCGUGUAGUC
rnacentral:rRNA from 1 species